UACGAAGGGUGCAAACGUUGCUCGGAAUUACUGGGCGUAAAGCGUGCGCAGGCGGUUCGCCAAGUCAGGUGUGAAAUCCCCGGGCUUAACCUGGGAAUUGCGCUUGAAACUAGCGGGCUUGAGUGUGGCAGAGGGGGGUGGAAUUCCACGUGUAGCAGUGAAAUGCGUAGAGAUGUGGAGGAACACCGAUGGCGAAGGCAGCCCCCUGGGUCAACACUGACGCUCAUGCACGAAAGCGUGGGGAGCAAACAGG
rnacentral:rRNA from 1 species